rnacentral:lncRNA from 1 species
AAGUUAAUUUUCGAACAUGAUACGUUAAAUCUAAAGAGGACGUAGUAAGAGCAGCAUGAUUUAACACUUAUGGGCCAAGCCCAUUGUAUAUGGCAUAGAUUUGGACUUGGGCCGUCCCUAUGCUAAUUACGGCCCGGAUAAUUUAUUCUACACGUUUGACAUUUUAUGAUGGCUAAAUGUGAACCAGUUAUAUCUAAUUAAACCAGUUGUUAUGAAUAUAGAUAAGUAAUUUGUUAACUGAAACAGUCUAAAGCUAUUGAGUAAUUAAUCCUAAGACCUUACAUGCAUUUAGAGUAUACUUUUUGUUUCAAACAAAAGAAACAGAGGGCCGAAUAUUACUACUACAUCACAUGCCUUGUUUAACUAGCAUACAUAGGGACCUUAUUCACUAAGCUACUGUGAAGGGUUCCACUCUAUUAUAUCAUACAACUACAUGAUUCUAAUAGAGGAAGCUAACUAAUGUAUAUAUACAACCAUAAUUCAAAAUAUAACUUAAAAUAAAUCCUAGAGCUUCAGCUCUUCACUUGUAUUUCAUGCUUCAAUAUGUUUCAGCUUACAUAAUUCAGUACGUUCGAUUGUGUACCUGUAUUUGGAAAUGACAAAGAAGAAGAGGAAGGUCAGUAGUGCAGCAGUAACACAAGCACAGCAACAACACGUUCAACAAUAACCAACAACACUAAUGAACCCAGUAACAGAUACAGUAGCAGAAAACAAGGACCAGAUUCAAAAUACCAAGCAGAAAACCAAGAACCCUUAAUGAAUCAGGAUUCAAGACCAAACUGAAAUCACAUGAAAUGCCCAAAACAAAACCACAGUCAAAGGAGAAAAGGAACAGGCACAAGACAAUAGUAGUUGUCUGAUUUUGAACACUCAGAAAGAGAACAAAUUGAAACUCUUGAUAUAAAGCUCAUCCUUGAUCACUAUUACUCUCUGAAAAGAAUCUCAAAAUUGACUAAAAACAUUCAAGUUUUAAUCUUUGAAAUAUGAUUUUUCUCUCAAAAAUUUCCAGUCUCCAGUUCUGAAUUUUUUUUUCUAUAUUCAAAAUCCAGUUCUUAAGUGUCAAAUGAGUCCUAUUUAUCCCAAGCAAGACUUUAUCCUCCUACCCCUUAAUUAUUAUUACCACCCUCUUUUAUUAUUACCCUUUUCCUUUCUUUACUUUCCAGCCCAAAAAUAUUCCCCUAUAUGCGGGUUCUUUACCCUUUUAUCAUUACUUAUACUAUUCCUAAUUCCAAUUAAGUAAAAGCAGUCAAAAAUUAUCAUUUUCAGUUGUCGCCCCCUACCAAUUAGUCAAAUUAAAGCUACUAUGGCCCUACUGAGUAGACUACUCAGUCAAACCAGAUUUAUCUAUUUUUCUAUUCCUAAAACACCCAUGGAAUUCCUACUGACUGCCACUGUUCUGAUUCAAAUCAUCAGUAAGCAAAACCGAACUUAAAACUAUCUAAGACUAAAGUUUGAUUACCAGUGAUAACCAAUACUUAAUACCAAUUUGAACAAAAUCAAAUAACUAAACACCAUAAGAAAUACUUAUUUCAAAGCAUUUAAACAUGAAAAAUCAUCCACUACAGGAAAAUCAUGACCUGAACUGAUCAGCUCAGUUCUUCAAUUCAAGUAAUUAACAGUCUCAUCCAAUUGCAUACUUGGAACAUAAACAAAAUAGGCUAACAAUGCCGCUGACACUUUGAACAAAAUCCACUAUUAUCCUGUUUUUCCCUUCGACUUUUAAAACUAAUUAAUCGACGAUACUUAACGGAUCAAUUACGCAUAAUUGGAAAUAAAUAAGCAGAAUAAAAUACACAAAUAGGUACACAUGUAAUUUCAGUGACAUUUUGACAGAGACAGUGAGUUACCAUACAAUCAAUUGAUCGACGACACUAAUUGAAUCGACUUUAUGAACUUACACACAAUCAGAUAGCAAGAAAACAGAAUUAAAGUAGAUGAAUUAGGUGAUUCAUGUGAUUUUGGAAAGAAUAGGGAACUUAUGAAACUAAACUAUUCGACGACAUUAUUCAUCGAAUGUAUAGUUUAUCAUACACACUUUAACAAUGAACAAAAGAAAAAUCGACCAAAUAAAAGGUCAUACGGAGAAGAAGCAGAAAAAUAGUUGACAAAAUCAGAAAUAAUACAAAAAAAAACUAAACAAAUAAUUAUAACAAAUAACAACAAAGAAAACAGAAAAACAAAGAGAAAAUACCUCAGAAACCCUUAGAAACGGACAACCUUGACUUGAAUUUGAACUCGAACUUUUUAUUGAGGUUGAAUGGACCUUAAUCGAUUGUCACUGAGAACAUGUCGACUAAGGUCCAUUGAACACCCAAACCCCCCUUGAUUUGGACAGAAUUCCCGAAUUGGAUUUUUAGGGUUCUUUGGCUCGAUUUGGGAUUCGAGCAUUUCUACGCUGAUUCGAACCAAACCAAUGGUAUUUGGGGUAUGAGGGAAGUCAGGAGGAGUUGUGGUAUGAAUUUGAAGUGAGUUGGGAUAAGUUUCCGUUUGGCUCGAAUCUUCAAAUGAAGAUUCGAGAAGCUCUAAGAUGAUUCGAGCCAAAUGGUUUAGGAUUUGUGUUGGGGUGGUUGGAAGGUCACAGGGUGUUAGUUUGGCGAUCAUCGGAGACAGUUGGACUUUCAGGCUAACCUUUGAUUUAAUAUUUGAAGUGUUGGGGCCUGAUUCAAGGGGAGCUAUGGUGAUGGUUGGAAUGGGGAGGUCGAGGUGGUUCAGGGGUGUGAAUAUGGGGGUUAUUGGACCUCAGGCCGCCGAGAUUAAUGAUGGAGUACAAGGGGGCGGCGCUAGGGUUUGAUAGGGGUCUUCUGGUUCAGUCUUAGAGAGAGACGACAGGAAUGAGGGGGGUGGCUAUGGAGCGGCGCAUGGUGUGGUUUAGGAUUAUAUACUAGGGGGAGAUUGAAUCCAAGCCAUUGGAUCGUAUGAGAUAAACGGCUCGGAUCAUUCGAUUAAUAUAAAACGGGGUCGUUUGGUCUUUGAGGAGUAUUGGGUCGACCGGGGUCGAAAUGGACCGGGUUGUGAGUAGGCCUUGAGGCCGUUGGAUCAACUGAAAAAGACGGCUCAGAUCAACUGGUCCAAAAC